rnacentral:RNase_P_RNA from 2 species
GCAGGCGGCCGGGCGAUCGCUGCCGUUUUCGUUCGAAAGAGCGUUUAACGGGGGAGGAAAGUCCGAACUCCGCAGGGCAGUGUGCCGGAUAACGUCCGGGACGGAUGCUUCAAGGCAUCCGGACGGCCAGUGCAACAGAGAGCAAACCGCCUUGGGCGCAAGCUUGAGGUAAGGGUGAAAGGGUGCGGUAAGAGCGCACCGGGCGACGAGUAAUCGGCGCCGCAUGGUAAACCCCACACGGAGCAAGACCAAAUAGGCAGGGAUGCGCCCGCCCCUCUCCAGGCGAGCGCAAGCGUAUCGGCCCGAUACGCCCAGGCGGAGAGAUCCAACGCGCAAGCCGAGGAAGCCGAAACCUGCGGGUAGGUUGCUAAAGCGCCACGGUAACGUGUCGCGUAGAGGAAUGAUCGCCUAGAACAAAAUUCGGCUUACGGGCCGCCUGCAAAC